UGGGGAAUAUUGCACAAUGGGCGCAAGCCUGAUGCAGCCAUGCCGCGUGUAUGAAGAAGGCCUUCGGGUUGUAAAGUACUUUCCGUCGGGAGGAAGGUGGUAAGGUUAAUAACCUUAUUAAUUGACGUACCGACAGAAGAAGCACCGGCUAACUCCGUGCCAGCAGCCGCGGUAAUACGGAGGGUGCAAGCGUUAAUCGGAAUUACUGGGCGUAAAGCGCACGCAGGCGGGUGAUUGAGUCAGAUGUGAAAUCCCCGGGCUUAACCCGGGAAUUGCAUCUGAUACUGGUCAGCUAGAGUCUUGUAGAGGGGGGUAGGAUUCCAUGUGUAGCGGUGAAAAGCGUAGAGAUGUGGAGGAAUACCGGUGGCGAAGGCGGCCCACUAGACAAAGACUGACGCUCAGGUGCGAAAGCGUGGGGAGCAAACAGG
rnacentral:rRNA from 1 species